CGGGGCGUAGCGCAGUUUGGUUAGCGCGCUGGCAUGGGGGGCCAGAGGUCCCCGGUUCAAAUCCGGGCGCCCCGACCA
rnacentral:tRNA from 4 species